GGAGACGCCACAGCGCCUGCGGCUCGGGGGGGCCUCUGGAUCGCUUGGCCCUGGAGGCCCGGGGAGCUUGCGUUCAGAAAACCCAUUCUAAGAGAGAAAGCCAUCAAGAACAGACUGGAUGGGGAAUCCCAGAAUCACAAUUCUCCAUAGCAGUCAAUCAUCCAUGUGAUGACUAAGGAUUCAGGCUGCUUCAAUCCUGUGGCUCUGCCAUCUCAACCCAUUGCCUCUACUGUAGACAAUGAAGGGGGAGAGAGAGAGAGCUGGAAAAGCCAUGUGAAUGUUCACUGCCUCCACUCAGAAGGAACCGUCACCCAACUGUAAGAAGCUGGGAAGAGUAGUUUUCAGUGGUCCUCUGAGGAGACUUCAUACUGAAAAACACUGGUACUGUCCACUAGAAUCUACCAGAAUCUACUUAUUUAUACACAGCUGAGCCCUAUAAACUCAAAGCCAAUCAACCAACAAGCCAACCCUCUCUGAUUACUGCCAGAGAGAGUCCACGAAGUAUAAAGAAUAUUCUUGGAACUCCGAGUAAAACCACAGGUGACCUAUGUUGGCUAAAUGAUCAGACUCUGUAGCCAAACAACCAUCACACCGGCGCAGGUCCGGCCCCUCACCAGUUGUGAGACCUUAAGCAAAUUAUUUAUCUUCUUUUGCAAAAGUGGAUAAUGAGUACCCUUCUCAGAGGAGUGUUGAGAGGAUGGAGUGCAGAUAAAGCCCGUGACAUUUAGCGCAAAGCCUGGCACAUAUGAAGCAUCUAUUAAAUGGUAGGCUCUAGCACUUUUAUUGUUGCAAUACGUAAAAUUAGUAAAUGGGGGACAUCAUUUAGGUUGAGAUACUUUUAAAAAUUACACAGCAAUUCUUGUUUUGUGGUUCCUUCAUUAUACUGUUGAAUUUACUGUGUGCUAGUGCUCUGUUUUGGUUUAAAAGCUAUCUAUUAGGAUUGAUAUUUCAGCAGAAAAACAUGAGUCUCUCAUCUAAUCAAUAUCUCUGAUACCUAUCAUUAU